AAACUCUGAUAUCUCCUAAUAUGCAGAUAAAUCUUUCGCCUUUUACUAAAACUUUUCAUGGGGAGGCACAACACAACGAGUCAUAUUUUAUUUUUUCCAAUGGAGUACUUCACAUUCUUU
rnacentral:snRNA from 1 species